AUUGAACGCUGGCGGCAGGCUUAACACAUGCAAGUCGAGCGGAGUGGUGGUGCUUGCACUAUCACUUAGCGGCGGACGGGUGAGUAAUGCUUAGGAAUCUGCCUAUUAGUGGGGGACAACAUUUCGAAAGGAAUGCUAAUACCGCAUACGUCCUACGGGAGAAAGCAGGGGAUCUUCGGACCUUGCGCUAAUAGAUGAGCCUAAGUCGGAUUAGCUAGUUGGUGGGGUAAAGGCCUACCAAGGCGACGAUCUGUAGCGGGUCUGAGAGGAUGAUCCGCCACACUGGGACUGAGACACGGCCCAGACUCCUACGGGAGGCAGCAGUGGGGAAUAUUGGACAAUGGGGGGAACCCUGAUCCAGCCAUGCUGCGUGUGUGAAGAAGGCCUUAUGGUUGUAAAGCACUUUAGGCGAGGAGGAGGCUACUGAGACUAAUACUCUUGGAUAGUGGACGUUACUCGCAGAAUAAGCACCGGCUAACUCUGUGCCAGCAGCCGCCGUAACAC
rnacentral:rRNA from 1 species